GUGCUUAACACAUGCAAGUCGAACGGAAAGGCCCCUUCGGGGGUACUCGAGUGGCGAACGGGUGAGUAACACGUGGGUAAUCUGCCCUGCACACUGGGAUAAGCCUGGGAAACUGGGUCUAAUACCGGAUAGGACCUCUCGGCGCAUGCCUAGGAGGUGGAAAGCUUUUGCGGUGUGGGAUGGGCCCGCGGCCUAUCAGCUUGUUGGUGGGGUGACGGCCUACCAAGGCGACGACGGGUAGCCGGCCUGAGAGGGUGUCCGGCCACACUGGGACUGAGAUACGGCCCAGACUCCUACGGGAGGCAGCAGUGGGGAAUAUUGCACAAUGGGCGCAAGCCUGAUGCAGCGACGCCGCGUGGGGGAUGACGGCCUUCGGGUUGUAAACCUCUUUCAGCAGGGACGAAGCGCAAGUGACGGUACCUGCAGAAGAAGCACCGGCCAACUACGUGCCAGCAGCCGCGGUAAUACGUAGGGUGCGAGCGUUGUCCGGAAUUACUGGGCGUAAAGAGCUCGUAGGUGGUUUGUCGCGUUGUUCGUGAAAUC
rnacentral:rRNA from 1 species